AAGCGCGUCCCCGCGCAGGCCGUGGGCGCGCACGGCCGCUGCCGCCGUUUGUUCUGGUGGAGGCUGCGAGUGCCUGGGCCUGUGACUCCCGGCUCUCCGCGCGCAGCGUCAGUCUGGGAGGGAAGCUCACAUGGCGGUCCCUAGGAUGCCCUGGACAUCAUUCCGAACAGCACAAUUCAAGGGGAGGCUUUUCCAAAUUAUGCAGCUGGUAAGAGGCAGAAGAGAAGCAAAGGAUGACCAUGAUCUCAGGCUCUUGGGUAACCCCCUCCCACACCAACUCUGAGUUUGUUUAUGGCUUGUUUUGGACAAUAAGACAUUAGCAAAUGAGAUAUAAGUACAGGCUUGAGAAGUACAUGGGCACUGGGGCUUGCUUGCUGGCUGCUCUGUGGAACCUGAGACUACCACGUGAAGAAGAAGUUCGAAGUGCUAGAGGUUGAGAGAACAUGUGCAGCAAAGAUGAAGCAUCCCAGCUGAGAUUCCCCUAGAUCAAUCAGCUUGCCAACUGCCGCAAAAGCGAAUAAAGCCUUCCAAGAGCAUCCAGCUAUAAGCAUUUCUGUAGCCACCUGCGGCAGGAGAAUGGCGUGAACCCGGGAGGUGGAGCUUCCAGUGAGCCGAGAUCGCUCCACUGCACUCCAGCCUGGGCGACAAAGCGAGACUCCGUCUCAAAAAAAAAAAAAAGCCAAAGACCUGAACAGAGACUUCAUCAAAAAAUACGUGUAGGUGGCAAAUAAGCAUAUUGAAAAGAUUGAAAAGAUGCUCCACAUCACAUGUUAUCAGAGAAAUGAAAAUUAAAACAACAACAAGAUACUACCAUACUCCUAUUAUAAUGACCAAAAUCUGGAACACUGACAACACCAAAUGCUAGUGAGGAUGUGGAGCAACAGGAACUCUCAUUCAUUGCUGGUGGGAAUGCAAAAUGGUACAGCCACUUUAGAAGACAAUUUUGGCUGUUUCUUACAAAACUAAACAUAUUCUUACCAUAUUGUCCACAAAUCAUGCUCCUUGGCAUUUACCUAAAGUCAUUUACCUAAAGGAGUUGAAAACUUAUAUGCACACACGUUUACUGCAUUUUUUAUUCAUAAUUGCCAAAACUUGGAAGCAACCAACAUAUUCUUUAGUAGGUGAAUGGAUAAAUAAACUGUAGUUUUUUAGACAAUGGAAUAUUACUCACCACUAAAAUUAAACGAGUUAUCAAGCCAUGAAAAGACA
rnacentral:lncRNA from 1 species